CCUGCUUGCAAUUUUAUCCCUAACCCCAUCCCCCAAGAAAAAAAAAGUAAAAGGGAGAGAAAGCAAAGAAUGUACUCUCAAUGUAACUGAGAUUUCAUAUGAAAGGCCAGAUUCAGCCCAGACAACCUGUGGCAACUGGUAUAUUUAAUUGUAUAUGGGAGGAGAUGGGAGCAACUGUUUUUUUGCAUCUGGAAGAGAGCUGCUGCAUUUGCCACUGAUGGAGCCUGGGAUAGGUUUGAGGCAGAGUCAGAGUUUCAGAUGUCCCUGCAUGAGUUAUG
rnacentral:lncRNA from 1 species